rnacentral:lncRNA from 1 species
CGGGCCACAGAACGAGGCCCUAUGCAGGUGUUGGUACAGACUGCCCCAAAAGCCCCCUGAGAAGUUGGUCCUGGGGCGUAAGAGGAAGGCACAGUGAAGAGCAGGAGUGAAAGCUGCUUCAGCACUUUGGAGCAGGAAGGAAAGGAAGCGAGAUACAGUUGGAAGAGGGUGAAGCGGGCAACCUGAGGGAUGGAGUGCAGGGUUUGACCUUCGAUUCUGGAUCUCCUCCAUUAGCAGGCUUCCGGGGUGGCGUUGUUGCCUCUCUGCCGAUCCUUCCUUUGGGUGGGGCUGUCGACUGGCGCCACGGCCUGUGAGACCGUGGGCGGGGUCGUUGCAGGCACAGUGGGGUUCCUAGAGUCUUAGGCAUGCUCACUUGAGGCGUUCUUCCCUACCCGUCGACUGAUCUCAGAGGAAAGAGACUGAGCUGCUCAAGCCUGCCGGUGUGGCUGUCAGGGUGUCCCGCGUUAGCCCAUGUGCCCGACUCCUGGGAUCUGACAGGGAGGCUGCUGAUGUCCACCUUCCAGUGCUUCCGUCCAUUGGGAGCCUGCCCUUCCUUGGCGCCGGCCGGCCGUGAGCGGUUAUCCUCCAUAGAUAGGGUUCAAGAACCGCCCAACCAUCACCUCAUGGUCACCUGACAUUCCUGGUGGUGGUAGGGGGACCCCCCUGGUUCCAUGCUCACAUCAGACCAGCUACCUCGAGUGGCAGGAACGUCUGACAGGAUUGCACAUGUGGCAGAGGAGCAUCCGAGAAGGAUGAAGGUUUGGCAGGAGAAACACCUACCAGAUCAGAUGUGAAUGUGUGGCAGAAGGCCCAUCUGGGAAGAUUGCACACUGGGCAGAAGGAAGAGCUAAGAACGUUGUACAGACAGCAGAAGGAGUGCCUCUGGAGAUUGCCCGCUGCAGGAGGGCGGGAACCGGCCCUCAUCCCCAUCGCGAUGGCUGCAAAGAGCCCAGCACCCUGGGCUCAGACUUCUGGGCUCGGCCCAGUGAACUUGGCGAAACUCAGGACGUCUGGGCUAGCCCUGCCAGCCUCCGCCCUGAACUUAUGUGCAGUUACCACCUGCACAUGGCACGGGGCCGCGGGAGUGGCAA